GACGUAGGAGGCGAGCGUUGUCCGGAUUCAUUGGGCGUAAAGAGCGCGCAGGCGGCUUGGUAAGUCGGAUGUGAAAUCCCGAGGCUCAACCUCGGGUCUGCAUCCGAUACUGCCCGGCUAGAGGUAGGUAGGGGGAGAUCGGAAUUCCUGGUGUAGCGGUGAAAUGCGCAGAUAUCAGGAGGAACACCGGUGGCGAAGGCGGAUCUCUGGGCCUUACCUGACGCUCAGGCGCGAAAGCUAGGGGAGCGAACUGG
rnacentral:rRNA from 1 species